rnacentral:sRNA from 1 species
CAGAUUUAGAGUCAAUUUUAAAGAAAGCUUCCUCGCAGUUU